GGUUCCCCAGCACUCCGGCUGAGAACAUCGCCGAGCUGAUGGCUGGGCUUUCGUCUGCGUGGAGCCACUGACGACUCUCGCAGUCCUCCACUCGCCCGGAGUCAUUGGAAGGAUUGCCCAUGGUGGAGAAAGCAGAGGAAGAUCCCCACAAAGGUGGGACAAAAAACUGAAGGAAGUGAAAACAGCCUGUCUGCCCGAGGAAUGGAACCAUGUACACCACCAGGCGGCCUACUGUACAGCUGCUUUGAUUCAGUUACCAGUCUUUUCCCAAGUCAACACUGUAACAAACAGCAACUUGUUUAAGCAACCUUAACAAUGCAAAACAGAAACGGUUCUUGUAGUCUAGAGUCAUGCUUGUGGCCAUGGAUGGAAAAUAGCUGCAUUUUAGUGUUCUCUACUGAAGCUCAAUCUUGAAGAAACUGUUGAUAGGUUGUUUACAUUCAUCUUUGCAGUCAGUUAACUGUAAAGGACCCAUUGGAAAGACUCAUUCCUGGGAGUAUGUUGGUGUAAUUGACCAGUUUCACAAUGAAGCUGACCCAAAUAGUUGCUUGUCAUCUGUUGUCAUAGUUCCAGAGUAGUGAAAAGGCACCAGUGUUUUGAAUUUUUCUAAGUCCAGCUUGGCAAACAAUGUAGGUAAUUAUAUGCUACUAGAAAAAACAACACACACACACACACACACAAACAUAUUCCAUGUGGGAAAAGAGAGUACACCUUGCAUUCCAUGACUUAGCUCACCAUGCUUCUGCCCUGGGGGACUGUAGUACAGAGGGGUUUUCUAGCAAAUGAAGGCAAGCAGAACCUAUUUGUGAAGUCUUUGGGCUCAUUUUGCACAGUAGCAGCUUUUCACUCCCUUGCUAAACUCUGUAGGGCAAGGAUGGAGUGGGUGUCAAAACUCCUCUAGUUCUCUUUCAGGCUGUAAACGGCAGGCCAGUAGCAUCCCCAACCCAGCCAUCCAAAGCGGACUAUUCCCUACCUCACUUUUGUCCCAUCUUAUCCCAAGAGACUGGGGAGAAUGGAAAGAAUCAGCACGAUCCUGCUGCUACAAUUUUUCCACUGUGUUUAAUUCCCAAGUGCUUCAUAAUGCACCUACAACAAAAGCCCCUUGUUCCACUAUGUCUCUAUGUGUGUCACUAGCUUUUUACCAGAUGAGUACAUGGUGGCAGGUCUCUACUGACUGUAAUGAAUACCAGAGACCAAUUUGAAUCCCAAACCCCUCUGCCUUUAUCUUGUUAGUCUCCACUGUGAGAAGAUUCUCACAGAGGUGUGAAUCCAGUUGCUGAUGACCAAGCUGUAUCCACACCCCUUCCUCAAAGACAACCCCUCAGACCCUUGGAUAGGCACUUCAGGGACAUGAGACAGCCCUGGGUAAAUCUGGGGAAGGAAGCCAGUAUCAAGUCCUGGCAAUGAGCCGAGGGCAAACAUUUAGGCAGGGAUUCCCUGAUAGCAGGUGCAGGAAGUUUGUCUCUAGUGGAGGUGGCAGUGGGUCUUCGUGGGUAAUCCCUACGUAUGGGUGGAGCUGUUGCCAGAAAAAGACUAGAGCUGAGUCUAAUUCUUGGGAACUUAUAUCUUACUGAUUAUUCUACUGGGCUGCACACUUUCAGUUGCCACCUAUCCAAGUUACCAUUUUUGUUUGCAGUUGUUGGGCAGAGAAAGGUAGCAGCUCUACUCUGUUCCACCCUUCAGAAGUCUGACUGGACAGUUAGUUUACGUCCCUACUUCCUCAGGGAGACCUCAAAUGGGUUCCAGUAAAUUGAAGUCUCAUCUUGCAGUUUGAAAGUUACUUCUUCCCAUUUCUAAUUGUACUGUCAGCGUCUCAAUGCAAUUUCAGUUUAUCCGGAAUCUAGAAUUUCUUAACAGAAAACACAUUAUCACCCUCAGUUCUAAAACUGAGCCAUAAAGCUUUGUUAAUUUUCAGUUCCUGUUUGUGAGGCCAUUGUAUUUGGGGAACACCAUGUGCUUAGUAAUUGUGUGUCAACUUGAGCAGGCAUGGAAUGCCCAGAAACUGACUAAGCAAUAUGUCUGACUAUAUCCCGGAGAGUGCUCUAAAGAGCUUAGCAUCCACACGGGUGGACUGACUGAAGCAGAUAUCUGUACCAAUGUGGGUGGGCCCCAUCUGGUCUGUUGGUGGCUGAAUAGAACUAGAAAGGUAGAGAGGAAGGGUGAUUCAAAGCUUGAGCUGGGGCGUGGAUCUGUCCGCGGCAUUCCUAAUCCUCAAGCCUUCAGGCUGACUAGGUUCUGAAACGUCAGCUCUUCGGUUUUGAGACCCCUUCCAACCGCAACUUCAGCUCUACAAGUGGAUACACAUAGAGAGACACAUGUAAGUCAAUGGCUAGGACACAGUGUGAGAAAGCUGUUGCUAGGCAGUUUUAGAGUUUAAGUGCGAAGUAUAGUAUUGACAAAACAUUGUGAAGCAUGUGAAUGUAUACACAGAAUACACGCAGACACACAGAUAGACACAUAUACGAUUGGUUCUUUUUCUUUGAAGAACUCUGACUAUUACAUAUUAGCUGAAACCUGAAAUUCAUAAUUUUCCUUUAUAAAUCUGUAAUUGAAGGGCAAGCUACCUACUGUGGGUCAUUCAGAAGAAGAAGGCAUAGAUAAACAUGAAGGAAAGAGAACUACAGGAGGAAGCGAACAUCAAUGCUUACAUGGUUCUACUUACAUUAUUUAUGCCUUUCAAAACACUAAAUCUUUGUGAUUUCUUUGCAUGUCUAAAUUUUUUUUUCUCAAGACAAGUUUUCUCUGUGUAGCCUUGGUUGUCUUGGAACUCACUCUGUAGACUAGGCUGGCCUUGAACUCACAGAGAUCUGCCUGCCUUUGCCUCCUGAGUGCUGGGAUUAAAGGAGUAUGCUACCAUUGCCUGGCCUAAAUAAUUUUUUUUUCAGAGAGUUCUAAGAACACCAUCUGUGCCCCAUAGUAAGCCAGACAAGGGUCACAUCACUUCACUAUAGCAAACAGAAGUAACUGCAAGAUAGAGAGCUGGGAUCUAGUGAACCAUUUUUGGUUUCUGUACACAAAAGACCUGUGAAAUUUCUAGGCUACUAGGUUGCCUGCUGGUGGUUGUUUCCUGUUCUCCAGCUCUGUCAUUCCCCAUAAAUACUUUGGCUUUGUGUAGCCAGGGUCUUUCCCUUGAAGGUGCCAGUUGCUCCCUAUGCUAGUCAAGAUUCAGCCAGAGAAACAGGUCCACUGUUAGUGAUAAAUGAUGCAGAAUUUAUUAUUCAGCGUAGGGGCUGCUUUGCUCCAUAAGCUAGCCAGCAGCCACGUGACAGUUUAAGUUUAAAUUAAUUAAAGGUAAAAAUGCAGUUUCUCUAGGUACAUUUCCAGCCAUACAUGACUCCCCUACUGAGAAGGUUAUGUGUGAAAUGCUUCUCUCAUUUCAGAAGUUAGAGUUAGACAGGGCUGCCUCAGGCCCUCCAGCACUGCUUCUCAACCGUCUGCAUCGAUGUAAUACAGUCCCUCAUGUUGUGGUGACCCCCAACCAUAGAAUCCUCUCAAUACUACUCAUGACUGUAAUUUUGCUACUGCUAUGAAUCUUAAUGUAAAUAUCUGGAGUGCAGGAUAUCUGAUAUAUGACCCCCAAAGCAGCUGCGACCACAGGUUGAAAACUGCUGUCUACAUGAUGUAGGUGUUGUUGGAGGAGACCACAGUGUUUGUCUCUAACUUUGGUUUUUGUUUUGAGGCUGAACCUCAUUAAGGACCAGCUAGAACGGCAGUCAGAGUAGAACUCUGGUCAGAGGAGAGCAAGAACAGAUCAGAACCAUACAGAUAAACUAGAAACUCAUAAAGGUCUGAAGCCUUUGAGGGUAAACUGUAUCUGUUUUACUCCCUCCAGCUUCAGUGGCAUCAGUAGCCUGUGAAAGCUUGAUGAUAUUAAUAAUCUAAAACUGCACUUGGCUUUAGAGUUGAAGGAAACAUUGGUGGAGACUGAGGAGCUUCAAGUCUGGGUGAAGUCUUAUGCAGCAGGGGUGUGUGAAAGCCACUGGCAUGCCCAGAGCCUUGCACAGUUAUCAGGGACACUGAUGCUGCUUCUCUGCAGCUUUUCAGGGAGCAUGCAACAUGUCACUUGUGAUCAGCACUAGCCUGGGACUGUGUAAAGAUCUGAAUGGCCUUUUCCGUUUGCUUGGAUGACUCAUGCUAGCUUCCAUAACAGCUCUGCCACGGGCUCAGGCCUAUGCAGUGGAGGCAGGGUGAUGGGAGAGACAGAGCUAGUGCGUGCUCCCCUCUGCCCUCCUCUGCUUUCUCAUUAGAAGAGGAAAACGCUCUCCAGGAAUACCAAAACAGGCAAAGAAGGAGCUAGAAACAGCUUUUGAAUCACUUGAAAGCGUUUUUAAAAAAUCUAUUGAGAGAUCUCAUUUGAAGUGGGUAGUACGUUCAUUCACUUUCUAGUUUGAAAACUGGUAAUCCAGGAAAGAACUAAACAUUAUCCAAACUUCCUAUAAGAAAUAUGUCUCAAGGUAACCAAAUAAGUCCAAGUGAUGAAAGUUUUACUGUUACCUAAGAAUAUAGACAGCAAGACAGAAUUAGAAAAAUCUACGUUCUCUAAUUCUUAUCAAAAUUAGUGAUUUAGUUUAAGUAUGUUGAAUUAUUCUUAGAAUAUUUAAGUACUUGGUUGUUGAGACCUAGAAAGUCACGUAAGACCAAAAGUCACACUAUCAAAAUUGCAUUCUUGUGGUGGGAAGCAAAGAAGGACUAAUGGUUCAAUGAAAAGCUCAAACUGGGCCAACAGGCACCUCAGGUAAAAGUGCUUGCACCAAGUCUGAUGACUUGAGUUUGAUUCCCUAGAAUGGUCAAAGGAGAGAAAUGAUUCCUAAAAGUUUUCCAAAGGAAUUCCAAAAUUCAUGUGCAUACAUGUGUGCAAAAGUAUGUGCACAUGCAUGCGAGAAUACACACUCACACACACCAAUGAAUAAAUGUAAUAUAUUUUGCAAAAGCUCAAACUGUCAUUGCCUAAGACUGAAUCUUUGCAUGCAAUCUAUGCUUAUUUUCUCAGAUGGGAACAAAAAGCAAUGGGAAGUAACACUUAUGCUACAUUCUAGAUGUAAGACAUAAUUGGUUCUUUUGCAUCAGAGCCAACCGAGAUCAAAUGGCGCAGGCUAGAAGGCCGAAGCUUUUGUUGCUCUGAUUGCUGCCUGUGAAAAUGGAAGACAAAAUAAAAACUUCUCAAGAAGCUUUAGCUUUUUGCUUGGCUUCUGGUUCUAAACAGCUUAGCUGCAAAACUGGCUAACAGAAAAGAGAUUAUGCACCUGAAUUUGGGAUUUUAUAAUUCAAACCUAGUAAACAGUUUGGCUAUACAAAUACAUAAAUUAAUACCAUCUCUGAGAGCUCAGAAAAGCCG